rnacentral:misc_RNA from 1 species
AAAGAAAGCAACCAAAGCAAAAACAGUACAAUGCCCACAUGAUGGAUUAUCGAUAUCCCCGUUAUAUCCAUCUGUCUCUUCGUAUUUCACUUCACCUCUUUCUAUUACUACACUCAGAUAGCGUCUCUCCAAACAAAAAUCCCAAAAAAUCGCAUCAUCGAAUCAAUCAAAGGAAUUAGAUUGAUUUCCCAAUUAACUCGAGAAAUGGAUUAUGUAACGAUUUUUCCGGCGAAGAAACAGUGCCUUAUGUAGAAAGCAAAU